rnacentral:rRNA from 1 species
GACGAACGCUGGCGGCGUGCUUAACACAUGCAAGUCGAACGGAAAGGCCCUGCUUUUGUGGGGUGCUCGAGUGGCGAACGGGUGAGUAACACGUGAGUAACCUGCCCUUGACUUUGGGAUAACUUCUGGAGACUGGGGCUCAUACCGGAUAGGAGCUCCUGCUGCAUGGUGGGGGUUGGAAAGUUUCGGCGGUUGGGGAUGGACUCGCGGCUUAUCAGCUUGUUGGUGGGGUAGUGGCUUACCAAGGCUUUGACGGGUAGCCCGCCUGAGAGGGUGACCGGCCACAAUGGGACUGAGAGACGGCGCAGACUCCUACGGGAGGCAGCAGUGGAGAAUAUUGCACAAUGGGCGGAAGCCUGAGGCAGCAACGCCGCGAGCGGGAUGACGGCCUUCUGGUUGUAAACCGCUGUCGCCGGUGACGAAGCGUGAGUGACGGUAAUGGGUAAAGAAGCACCGGCUAACUACGUG